rnacentral:rRNA from 1 species
GGGGAAUAUUGGACAAUGGGGGCAACCCUGAUCCAGCAAUGCCGCGUGUGUGAAGAAGGUUUUCGGAUUGUAAAGCACUUUCGGCGGGGACGAUGAUGACGGUACCCGCAGAGGAAGCCCCGGCUAACUUCGUGCCAGCAGCCGCGGUAAUACGAAGGGGGCUAGCGUUGCUCGGAAUGACUGGGCGUAAAGGGCGUGUAGGCGGUUUGUACAGUCAGAUGUGAAAUCCCCGGGCUUAACCUGGGAGCUGCAUUUGAUACGUGCAGACUAGAGUGUGAGAGAGGGUUGUGGAAUUCCCAGUGUAGAGGUGAAAUUCGUAGAUAUUGGGAAGAACACCGGUGGCGAAGGCGGCAACCUGGCUCAUAACUGACGCUGAGGCGCGAAAGCGUGGGGAGCAAACAGGAUUAGAUACCCUGGUAGUCCACGCUGUAAACGAUGUGUGCUAGAUGUUGGGUAACUUAGUUAUUCAGUGUCGCAGUUAACGCGUUAAGCACACCGCCUGGGGAGUACGGCCGCAAGG